UGUCUGAAGGUGUGAAAGUGUGCAGAUUGCCCAUGAAACUGGGUUGUGGCUCUCUGGGGCUUACAGUAGUGAUCCUGGCUAGGGCUGUGGGAAGCAGCAACAGCAUGGGCCUGGGGAGGACAAGAUGCAGCACCACUUUGCUUCUCAAAUGUUAUUUUGUUUUAUAAAUCCUCUCUUAUUUUGAACCUAGUACUGCAGUAUGAAUCCAAAAUACUUUCUUUCAUUAUGUAGCCACAGUGUCAGUUAUCAUACCUAACCAAAUAAUUAUACUUCUUGUGGGAUCAUGAAUUAAGCAAUCCAUAUUCAAAUCACUUCAUUGCCAUUAAAUCUUAUGAGUUAUUUUUUUGACUCAGGAUAUGAAUAAUUCCUAUGUUGCAUUUUAAGGUCAUAUCUUUUAAAUACAUUUUAAGUUAAAUUUAUUUUUGUGAUAAUUGUGGAUUCACAUGCAGCUAUAAGAAAUAAUACAGAGAGAUUGUGAGCACUCUUUAUUUCCAGCGUGCCUCACCAAUUUUCCUCCACUGAGAAUGUCCUUUAAUUCUUCAGUACAGUACUACAAUCAGAAAACUGAAAUUGAUACAAUCAAGAUACAGACCAUUUCCAUCAUCACAAGGAUCACUCACGUUGCCCUUUUGUGAUCACACCUACUUCCCUUCUACUUCUCUCCCCAAGAUCUAGCAACUAAUAUUCCAUUCUCCAUUUCUCUAAUUUGUUAAUUUAUUGAAAUUUAUAUAAACAGAACCAUAGAAUAUGUAAACUUUUGGGGAAGAACUCAGCACAAUUCUUUGGAAAUUUUCCAGUUUAUUGAGUUUAUUAAUAGUUCUUUUCAUUCUAUUGCCACAUAAUAAUCCAGGAUAGAUGUAUGUAUCACAGGUUGUUUAGCAAUUUACUUGUUGAAGGACAUCUGGAUUGCUUAUAGCUUGUGAUUUUUACAAAUAAAUCUGCUAUAAACAUUCGCAUUCAGGGUUUUGUGUGAAAAAAUGUUUUCAUCUCUGGGAUAAAUGCCUCUGGAAUGCUCAAAAUUUCAACAAUUUAAAAUAAAUGUGCCAAUUCUUUGAAAACCACAAGCUAUUAAAACUCAGUCAAGAUAAAGUAGAAAAGUAAAUUUGUACUUAAAACAAAACUCCUGAAAAAGAAAUUUCUGUACCCAGAGGGCUUCCAUAAAGAAUUUUACCAAACAUUAAAAGAAGAAUUAACCACUUUCACACAACUUCUAGAAAAUAGAAGACAAGGGAAGACUUAUUGUGUAAGGCUACCUUAUUGUAAGGCCAGCAUUACAGAGAUACAAAAACCAGACAGUUUUAAAAAAGUGCAGGAGCAAGAGAGUAAAUAAGCUACUAAAAAAAAAUAAUAAAAUGAUUAAUAAAAAUCAAAUUCAACAAAAUGUGAAAUGAAUUAUAUACUAUGUCUUAGAGGGAUUUAUUCGAGAUUGCAAGACUGGUUGAAUAAUCAAAAAUCAGUUCUUGUAAUCCACCAUAUCGACAAAUGCACAGGAAAAUCAUUUCACAAAAGUCAGCACUAAUUUAUGAUUAAAAAACUUAGCACACUAGGCAAGAAGAUAAUUUCUUCAAUGUAAUAAAGAAACCUACUAUUAAUACAAUAUUUCAUGAUCAAAGGCUGUAUUUUCCACACAAGAUUAGAAAAAGCAAAGGCUUCCAUUUUUAUCAAUCUUAUUUUACAUAUUACUCAAAGUUCCAUCCAGUAAAAUAAGGCAAGCUGGAAUUCUAUACCCAGUGAAAUUACCCUUCAAAACUGAAUGAAAAGUGAAGAGUUUCUCAAACAAAUAAAAUAGAAGGAGUUCAUAGUUACCAUACCUGGCUUGAAAUAUAAAAAAUCUAUUUACUGAAAAGGAGAUUGAUAAAGGUCAGAAACUGUGAUCUACAUACUGGAAAAAAAGAUAUGAGAAUGAAUAAAUGAAAGCAAAAUCUUUUAUUUAUAGGACUUUAAUUGCUCUAAAAGCCAACUGGUUGUUUAUAUUAAUAUAGUAAAAAUGGGUGUAGUAAUUAUAUCAUAUUAAUAAGUGAAAUAAAUGAUAAAUUGCUCCAAAGAACAGGAAGGAGGAACUGGAAAUUUUUUUCUUAUAUAGUAUCUGUACUACAUAUGAAGCAGUAUAGUAUUAUUUGAAGGUCAGCUUGAAUAAGUUGAAAUUAUGUAUUAAAAAAAGAAAGUAUGUAUCAUAAACUAAAAGGCGGCCACUGGAAAAAAAAUUAAAAAAACAAAUGACAUUAAAGAAGAGACAGAGAGAGAAUUAUAUAAAACUCUUACUUAAAACUAGAGAAGACAGAACAUAAAGGAAAGGACACCGAAACAAAAUUAAGGAAGGCAAUUACCAACAUAGUGGAUAUUAAUCUGAUUAUAUCAACAGUGACUUUAAAUGAGAUAGGACUAAUUACAUGAAUUAAAAGAGAUUAUCAUAAUUUUUUAAAAAAAGACCCAACUAUAUAUUACCUAUGAAAAUUCCACUUAAAUAAAAUGAUACACAUAAGUUAAAAAAUAAAGAGAUGGAGAAAGUUACACCAUUCAAACACUAAUGAAAAAAAUAUAGUACAAUAUUAGACAAAAUGGAUUUCAGAACAAGGGAGAUAUUAAGGGGUAUUAAAUAAUCAUAAAUUAUUGCAUUUCCAAGAUGACAUAACAACCCAUAAUAUAUAUUUGUCCAACAACAGAACAUCAAACUAUAUGAGCCAAAGCUUGAUAGAACAGAAAAUAGAAAAAUCUAUUAUCAUAUUUGGAGACUUCAAUACUCAUCUGUCAGUAAUUGACAAUUCAAGCAGACAGAAAAUCAGUGAGAACAUAGAUAAAUUGAAUAGAAUUGUCAAUCAACUUGUUCUCAUAGACAUUUUUAGAAUACUCAAUCCAACAACAGCAGAAUACACUUUUUUCAAAUUCAAUGGGGCAUUCAUUAAAACAGACCACAUUCUGGGAGUUUCCAUUGUGGCUCAGUGGUAAACCUGACUAGGAUCCAUGAGGAUGUGGGUUUGAUCCCUGGUCUCACUCACUGGGUAAGGGAUCCGGUAUUGCAGUGAGCUGUGGUUUAGGUCUCGGCUCAGAUCCUGCAUUGCUGUGGCCAUCAGCUGUAGCUCUGACUGGACCCCUAGCCUGGGAACUUUGAUAUGCCACAGGUGUUGCCCUAAAAAUAAAUAAAUAAAAUAAAACAGACCACAUUCUGGAUUUAAAAACAUAUUAACAGGUUUUUUUGAAUUGAAAUCUUACAAAUAAUAUUCUCAGACCACAAUGAAAAUACGCUAGAAGUUAUAACAGAAAGUUUGCUGGAAAAUUCCAAAAUAUUUGACUUAUACAUGAGCCAAUGAAGAAGUUUCAAGAGAAAUGAAAAGUAUUUCAAACUAGAUGAAAAUGAAAAUACAAGUUCUGAAAACCUAAAGUGUGCAACAAAGGCAGUGCCUGGGGGUAGUAGCAUUGGAAUCUCAUAUUAGAAGAGAAGUAUGUAAAAUAAGUAAUCUAAAUUCCCACUUUAGGAAGAUAGAAGGAAAGAAAUGUAAGCCCAAAUCAAACAGAAAAAAAAUAAAUAAAUGUGCCCAGCUAUACAAGAAAAACUUCCUACACUAUUCUAGUCUAGAUACAUUACUCUGGUUUCCUUAUUAUUAAAACAUAUAAUUUAUACUCUAAUUAGUAUAAAUCAAUGAAAUUGAAAACAGGAAAGCAAUAAAGAAAAUCAAUGAAACAAAACUUGAUUCUUACAUAAGAUUGAUGAAAUUUAUAAACAUCUAGCCAGGCUAACCAAGGAAAAAAAAAGAGGAAGACACAACAUCACUAAUAUUAAACGUGUAGAAGUGAUUGUCACUAUUGAUACUUUGUCGCUACUGAUAUUCAGAAAAAGUCAACAAACUGCUGCAAUUCACACAAGGAGAAAUAUAUAACCUGAUAAAUCCCAACUGUAUUAAAGAACUUGAAUCAAUAAUUAAUACCCUUCUGAAAUGAAAGCAACAGGCCCAAAUUUUUUCACAGGUGAAUUCUAGCAAACAUUUAAAGAAGACGUAGUACUAAUUCUCCACAAUUUCUUCCAGAAAAUAGAAGCAGAGGCAGUUUUUCUAACUUGUUAACUUCCAAGGUAACUAAAAAAUCUAACUUCUUUAAUUUAUUUAAGGAUGUCUAUUUUAAAAGUGCAGUUGAUGUCAUAUUUAAUUACAAGUCUGGAUUUCUUUUACUAAGGAGAACCAUGUAAGAAUGUCCUUUCUUACCAAUCCUAUCCAUAUCAUAAAAGAGCUUCUGGGAGUUCCCUUCAUGGUUCGGCAGUUAAUGAACCAUGGCCUAGAAUCCACGAGGAUGCAGGUUCGAUCCCUGGCCUCGUUCAGUGGGUUAAGGAUCUGGCGUUGUUGUGAGCUGUGAUGUAGGUGGCAGACAUGGCUCAGAUCGCGUGUUGCUGUGGCUGUGGAUUAGGUUGGCAGCUACAGCUCCAAUUAGGCCCCUAACCUGGGAAUCUCCAUUUGCUGUGGGUGUGGCCCUAAAAUAGCAAAAAUAAAUAAAUAAAUAAUAAAAAUACAAUAGCUUCUGGAUAGAACAAUAAAACAAAUUUUAAAAAGUUAUGCAAGUUGGAAAGAAAUAAUAAUGUUUUCAUUGGAAGGUAACUGUAUUGUCUAUGUGGAAAAUUUCAAACCACCCCUCUUGAUGCCAAAAAAUAUAUAUAUAAACUCCCAGAAAUAAUACACAAGAAUAGAAAAAUCUUAGGAUAAAAGAUCAAUACAUACACGAAUUAUGCAGAAGUAUCAAGAUGGCCGAGGAGUAAGGCAUCGUGCUUGCCUUCUCCCACAAACACAUAAAAAAAAAA
rnacentral:lncRNA from 1 species